GGAGGAGGGGGAAAGAAGGGCGCAGUGCGGGUCUGGGCUUUGCAGGUAGUUAGUGCGACUGUGUGCGUGCGGGAGCAAGAGAGUACACUCGUCGGAGACUGCGAGGAGUUGGGACACCCUGGGAAGCAGCAAACCAGAGCACCAAGCAGGGCCCGCUCAGUUCAUCAUACCCAGUCAGCAUUGGGAUGAAGGAGGACGGCACUGUCAUGAUGAGAACACUGUGAAGGAGGAUGGCACUGUCAUGAUGAGAACACUGUGUCCUUAGAAGAUGAAGCCUUCAACACUGAACCUUAAAACCAAGCCAUCCAGCUCCUGCCAGCUCCUUGUGGUUGCCUGUGGCUCCAUGGAACUGCCACAUCAAGUAAUGAACCUCAAGGUGAACCAAACCAGGAUACCACACACAUCACACCAGCCCUCCUUUGGGAAAUGCAGACCUGUCCCAGGAGUUUCAGGCAUCCUGUGUUCAUCCUGCAUCGCCUCGUUGAAGAAGUAAAACUACCUGCUGCUGAGAACUCUGAAAAGGAGCUGCAAACGUCGAGGUUCAGAGGAACCAGGAAUCCUGGCCUGCCAUCCGUACAGCCUGCUGACCUCCAGGUGGAUGUGUGAAGCAAGGAGCUGUGCCCUGGAAGCCCCAGAUGAGUGUGUGGGUCAUGUGCUGCAAGCUCCCAGGUUGCAGGGGUCCGUUUCCGUGCUGUCUGCCGAUGGUGCUGCCUGAAGGAAAACCAUGGAAACGGAGUUUGACAGGCUCACAGGGACCCACGGCUGCCAGAGCCGCUGCCUUUGAGCGCCUGAUGAAGACAUCACAGAGCAAACACAACAUUAAAACGCUGCUGGCUGCUUUGCAUCACUUAGAAUGCAAAUCUCUUUGUUCUGCUCGGCCCUUGCGUUUUGUAGCCGAGGAAUCUGUGCUAUCAUCUAACAUGGAUUUGCUGACCUUUCUUCCCUCGCUGUCCGUUCUCCUAAAAAAAAAAAAAUAUUUAAAAAAUAUGGUAAAAGAUCAGCUUUUGUGGGAAGGAGGGUGGCGUGGGUCUGUGCAUUUGAAAUGGCCCCAGUUUUUUUCAGUUCCUGGGAUUUCUGUGCACAAAUUAAACACCCAUAUUGCAGAGCAGGCUGGGUUGGGUUGCUUUGUUGCUCCCUGUGUAUUAUUUGACUUGGAUUCAUUUACAUGGCAACUCACAGGGGUAGAUUUUAUGUCAUCUUUAUGCCACAGAUUAAAAGGUAAAAGUAAUCCUUUAUUUGCACAGCACAUCCCCUCCAACCCUUUAAGCCGUACAGAUGAAAAUAGAGGAGAAAAAUGCAAACUCUCCCACCACCAUAAUGCCUACUUUAUAACUUUUUAUGCUAAAUUUAAGUGUGUGGUUAUUAUUCCGCCCUCCAUUUGUAGGUGGCCUGUACUUUUAACUGCAGUUUCUGAUUGCAGUCACUGUCAGACCUUUGAAAUGCCCCACACCUUUGUGCUCAGAUGUGGGAUUUGGGUGGCUCCUGACAGGCUGAGCUAUGCAUGGGGCCAUCAGGAAGGCUUUUUUGCU
ensembl:lncRNA